UGAUUGAAAUAAUUAUCAGUAAAACCUGCUCAAUGAAAUUGAAUAGCCGCAGAAAUCUGUGCUAAGGUAGCAUAAUCACUUGCCUUUUAAUUAAAGGCUAGAAUGAAUGGUUUAACAUGUAAGUUAUUUUAUUAAUUUAAUUUCUUUAUUUUUACUUAUUAGUAAAAAGGCUAACAUCAUAAGAAGGACGACAAGACCCUACAAGCUUUAUACUAUUAUUUCGCUGGGGUAGCGAAAAAAUUAUAUCUUUAUUUUAAAUUAUUAAUUAUCUAUACAUAUAAAUUUUCAAGUUACUGUAGGGAUAACAGCACAAUAUUCUUUUAAAGUUCUUAUUUUUAAGAAAGUUUGUGACCUCGAUGUUGAAUUAAAAAUUCUAUUUAGAGCAAAAUCUUAAAAAGAAAGUCUGUUCGACUUUUAAUUUUUU
rnacentral:rRNA from 1 species